UGGGGAAUAUUGGACAAUGGGCGAAAGCCUGAUCCAGCAAUGCCGCGUGAGUGAAGAAGGCCUUCGGGUUGUAAAGCUCUUUUACCCGGGAAGAUAAUGACUGUACCGGGAGAAUAAGCCCCGGCUAACUCCGUG
rnacentral:rRNA from 1 species